GCUCUUAAUAAGAGGGGUGCAUUUGGCGGCAACAAAAUGAACCAAUUUGGGGAGGUCUCAAUUCUCAUCACAAAUUAAUUUUGGGUUCUAGGGUUUCAAAUUCGAUCAUUCACCAUUGUCGACGAAACACGAUGGGCUAACUUCUGUUGAGAGGCGAUUUAUUUGUUCUUCCUGGUACAGUAGUUGUUUAGCAUAUAGGUCUCUCAUUCUUGCAAUGAACUUGGAAAGGAAAUGUAGUGUGACAACCAUGGGCGAUCAAGACCAAUCCCCUGGCAGUUCUGGUGAUGAUGGACAUUCUAAAGGCCAGAUUCUUGAAAACCUACCUCAGGAAAAAGUGAACAUUGAGACAGAAUGUGAAGAAACUGGCAUUGAUUGGAUCAGCGAGCUACCUGACGCUCUUAUUGUACAAAUUCUUUCUCAAAUGCCCAUACAAGAUGCCUUCAAAACAUCUAUUCUCUCUAAACGUUGGCAAUACCCCUGAACUUCUAUAGACAACCUUGUUUUUGACAACAGGAAUACCAAUUGGUCCGAUAGAGAGAAUGUGAUUAAUAAGUUCAUUUCCUUCACAGACAAUGUACUACCUCUCCUUUGCUGCUCUAAAAUUAAAAAGCUCUGUCUAUAUUUCCGAUUUUGCCUUGUUGCUUCUUAUAGUUCCAAAAUUGACAAGUGGCUUGAAAUUGCUUUAAAGAAAAAAGUGGAGGAUCUUGACCUGGAAAUAUGGUAUUAUGAUCAAAACCCCUAUGUCUUGCCACAAGUUCUCUGCAACAACUCAUCCAUUGUAAAAUUUAAUUGCGAGUUUUGCAGAAUACCUGAAGAAUGUGUACUAAAUUGGACAUCCCUGAAGAGUUUGACACUAACCUAUUUGUUUCUUCGGGACGAACAUGUUGAACAAAUAGUAACAAAUUGUCCUCAGUUGGAAUCGUUGAAGCUAUGUGAGUUUUGUGGUUUUCAUCGCUUACAUAUAACUUCUCCAAAAUGUAGAAGUCUGCAAUUGAUUGAUCAUGCCCAUCCUGAUGGAGAUUGGGGUCCAUUUGGAGGUGAUUGUUCCUUCGAAAUAGUUGCCCCAUAUAUUCAACAUUUAAAGAUUUCGGGGCAUUUUGAUAACGUGGAAAUUAGACUUGGGGACCUUUCAUCUUUAGUCCACGCUGAUCUUACUUUCUCUGUUGAUGUUGUAUUUGACAAAACCGUGGAACUUCUCUUGGCAAGUGUACGUUGUGCUAAUGAGCUAAUGAUCCCAUGCUGGUUUAUCGAGAUGAUUUAUGUGUCGGUGUUAGAAAAGAAGAAAGAUGUUCCAUUGCUGAUGCUGAAGUGCAAACAGUUGACGAUAAAUUCUUGGAUUUCAAGAAAUGCCAUUCUCGGCAUAGGUGUUCUCUUAAAGUCAACUCCAUAUCUGGAGAAUUUGAUGAUACUUCAUGAAGAGGGAGAUUUCUUUGUCUGGGAUGAAGACUUGGAAGACGAAGAGUUUGAUUGGUCAGGAGACAAUUCCCUCUCCUUGCAUGAAAACAUAUUCAAAGGCUCCUUACAGAAUUUGAAGCAUGUUGAGGUUACUUCAAACUGUUGUAGUUGUCAACACAAAGCUGACGCAACAGAGCGCCUUUCAGAAUUUUUGAAGUCUUUGCUUGAGCAUGCAAAAAAUCUUGAGAAACUGGUUAUAGCGCCAUGGCACAAUGGAUGCGAUAUCUCUUCAGCCAAUAUCUCAAAAGUGAUUAAGAACUUGCUAGCUUUUCCAGGAGCUUCUAAUAUUGCAGUUGUUUCCUUAGGAUCGGUCUCCAGUGUUGACUUUUCAGGGGAGUAGAAACUUUUAUACUGACCUUGUUUGUUCUAAUAUUUUGUUCAACUACUUUUGGAACUCUUAUAUUUUUGUAUGUCAGUGUAAAAAAAUGUUGACCAUCAAGUUACUGUGUAACUGAAAGAGGAGA